rnacentral:tRNA from 2 species
GGGAGUAUAGCUUAACUGGAAAAGCGGCGGCGUAAACCCUCAAUGCGCCGUGAAUACGUCCCCGGUUCGAAUCCGGGUAUUCCCUCUA